rnacentral:rRNA from 1 species
GAACGCUGGCGGCAUGCCUUACACAUGCAAGUCGAACGGUAACAGGUCUUCGGAUGCUGACGAGUGGCGAACGGGUGAGUAAUACAUCGGAACGUGCCCAGACGUGGGGGAUAACGAGGCGAAAGCUUUGCUAAUACCGCAUACGAUCUAAGGAUGAAAGCAGGGGACCGCAAGGCCUUGCGCGUUUGGAGCGGCCGAUGGCAGAUUAGGUAGUUGGUGGGAUAAAAGCUUACCAAGCCGACGAUCUGUAGCUGGUCUGAGAGGACGACCAGCCACACUGGGACUGAGACACGGCCCAGACUCCUACGGGAGGCAGCAGUGGGGAAUUUUGGACAAUGGGCGAAAGCCUGAUCCAGCAAUGCCGCGUGCAGGAUGAAGGCCUUCGGGUUGUAAACUGCUUUUGUACGGAACGAAAAGGCUCUGGCUAAUACCUGGGGCACAUGACGGUACCGUAAGAAUAAGCACCGGCUAACUACGUG